rnacentral:rRNA from 1 species
UGACGUCAAAUCAUCAUGCCCCUUAUGGACCUGGGCUACACACGUGCUACAAUGGGCGGUACAAAGGGUCGCGAACCCGCGAGGGGGGAGCCAAUCCAAAAGACCGCUCUCAGUUCGGAUUGCAGGCUGCAACUCGCCUGCAUGAAGCCGGAAUCGCUAGUAAUCGCGGAUCAGCAUGCCGCGGUGAAUACGUUCCCGGGCCUU